rnacentral:rRNA from 1 species
GACGUAGGGCGCGAGCGUUGUCCGGAUUUAUUGGGCGUAAAGAGCUCGUAGGCGGCUUGUCGCGUCGAAUGUGAAAACUCGGGGCUCAACUCCGAGCUUGCAUUCGAUACGGGCAGGCUAGAGUUCGGUAGGGGAGACUGGAAUUCCUGGUGUAGCGGUGAAAUGCGCAGAUAUCAGGAGGAACACCGGUGGCGAAGGCGGCCAUCUGGACCGCAACUGACGCUGAGGCGCGAAAGCGUGGGGAGCAAACAGG